rnacentral:rRNA from 1 species
AAUUAUCCUCAUAAGUUUGACGAAAAGAGGGACCGUUAUAAGCUAGUUUAUUUAUAUUCUUAUUUUUUUAAUUAAUUUAAAUUAAUAUUGACAAUCCAUAAAAAAUCACUUAUAACGGUGACACAAAAUCGGAGGCCACGACUGUUUACUAAAAACACAACACAGUGCAAUCAUUAAUAUGAUAGUAUACUGUGUGAAAUUUGCCCGAUGCCAUUAAUAUAAGAGCGAUCAUGGUUUUCUGUGAUUAAUCGAAAAUCUGGUUAAUAGCGGUCUUAACUAUGAGGAUCCUAAGGUAGCAAAAUAAAUUGGCCUUUAAAUGAGGUCCGGUAUCAAUAAUGUAACGAUGGUCUCACUGUCUCUACAACUUGCUCAGUGAAAUUGAAUUACGCGUGCAGAUGCGCGUUGCCUUCAGGGGGACGGGAAGACCCUAUGCAG